CUGGCUAUCAUCCUCUCAAACACUACCUGGGGAAUUUGCUCGUCGUCAUUGUUAUUGUUCUUAUUUGAGUUUUUGUUGGCAGCGUUUUCUUUCGCUGUAGCUGGUGGUGUGCUCGCAAAUCCUUUGGCGUUGGCCUGCAAUUCCCAUGUUGAUGAGGGUUGGUUUUGGCUCUGGUUUUUUAUGAUUGUGGGAAGGAUUGUUGGGGUUCUUAGAUCCCAUAAAAAAGGCUUUGGAAGGUAAAAUUGCUGUAUUUCUAAAGCGAGAAGAGUCUUCAUUGCUUCAUUGACCCCUUUUUUUUUUUGGUUCAAGAAGCCAUGCUUAAGGUUCUUAUGGCCAUUUUUACCUUAUCCGGAAACAAUGAACGGCAGUGGUUUCUCGUAUGAUAUGAGAUAUUUUGGUUUUAGAAUCUAAUUAAGAUAUUUCCAGAAAAAUAUUUAGUUAGGUUUUGUUGUAUUUGACAUUGACAGAAACCCCUGGUCAAUUUCUUCUGCCGUGGCAAUUUCAUCUUUUAAUUUUUGAAGAUACAAGCACUUACAAGUUAAAUCAAGGAUGUCAAAUUUUCAAUCUUUUCCAAAUCAACUGAGCUUGAUAAAAAUUUUAACUUUUGAUUUCAAGAAAGAUGACAAUGAAUAUUGUAUUAUGGGAAAAGAUAAAUAUUAUUUUAAAUUUUUAUCGAUUAUGAAAAUUGAUAGAAUAAUAUAGUACUUUUUUCAUAUAUGUAUUUUAUAUUUAUUUUUUAAUAAAUAAACUUUUUAUUAAAAAAUAUUAAUUGUUAUUUUAAAUUUAUUAAAAUUAAUAUAUAUAUUUUUUAAAAUAUAUUAAUACAUAUUUAUAAAAAAUUAUAUAAAUAUACAUGAUAAAAUUAAAAAUUAAAAAGAAAUUAUAUUUUUAUUUUUUUUAAGUUAUGGGUUUAAAAAUUAUUUAUACAUAUUGAAUUUUUUUAGAAAUAAAAAUAAAUUUAAAAUAUUCAUUAAAUAUAAAUAUAAAAAUAAAUAUAAUAUAAAAAUUAAUAAAAAUAAAGAAUACUUUUUACGUUCCAUACUUUAUCUAUUGACAUAGUUGAUGUCAUUUAAUCUUUGCAUCGAACAUUCAAUUUAAUGUCAUGGAUACCUACUAACCUUGUUUUAAAAAAUUAAAUUAAAUUUCUCUUCCUCGAUAAAAAAGAAAACAGUUAAAAUAAUAAAAAAAAUUAAACUUUAUCACUAUUUUAAAAAAAUUUAUAUAUUUAUAUUAUAUUUAAAUAAAUUCUUAAAUUUUAUUUUAUAUUUAAAUGCAUUCUUUUUUUAUUAAAAAAUACAUUCUUAUUUUAUUUUAAAAAAUAAAUUAUUAUUUCAAUUAAAAAGUUGACUUAUCUUACCAUCAAUAUUAACUGAUUUUUUUUGUUUAUAUGAAAAUUGGCGUGACUUGAUGAUAUAAAAAAAUAUCAAAAAAUAUUUUUAACAUAGUUAAAAAUUGAAAAUUAAAAAAAUCUUGAAAAAUAAAAAUAUUUUAAUUUUCAUCUGUUGAUCAACUUAUAUGUAAAUAAAAAAAAUCCAACUGAUGUUGACAGUAAUAAAAGUAAAAAUUUCCUAUUAUAACAAGGGCUCAUUCCUACUCAUUGUUUUUAUAUAUUCUUAAUUUUAUAUGGGACCCUUCUCUGUAUAUGAUUGAGAAUUGUUGACGACAAGUUCAAUAUAUAUUAAAUAUUUUGAUUAAGAUAAUACUAAUCAAUUAUCCGACUGAUGUGAUAGAUCUAUUUUUUUUCUUGAAUAUAUAUUUAAUUUAAUAAUCUUAAUAAUGCAAGCUAAAUGUACGGCGGAUAAUAGGUUAAGUGCAUUAAAAAAGGAAGAAACGACAUCAUCAAUAAUAAAGAUAUACUUAAAUCUCAACAAAAUAAAGUAGUUCCCAAAAUACGUUUUAUGGACCCACAUAUUAUUCAAUGGAAUGAGAAAUUCCCAUCUAUAAAUAAACAUUUACAUGUUUAUUUUCAGAAACUCGUUAUCAUUGAAACCUACGAACCAUGUUUCAGCCUCUCACAUGAUUUUCUCGGUACCUGCUAGAAUCAAUUUACAGAAAAAAGGAUCAGCUAUAUAUACAUUGAUGAGAAAAUGUUGAACAUAUGAAGCCUGACAAUAUUGAAAUUGACUUGAUGCAGUUCAUUAAGUUCCACAUUAUAUUUAUACCUGAUGUGGGGAUGGUGUAGGUUUCCCAGGGGAAGCACACACAGUUGGGUUGGAGAGUGGUGACUGAACGUUUGAUGAAAUUGGUGAACAAAGUGCUGGAGAAUGAGUCUUUGAAGAAAGUGAACUUCCAUGACAUGAAGAAAUUGGGGAUGGCACAGGACUUCUCCAGUGAAGUUGAGAUGCCGUUGCUGCUCCGGGAGAUCUUAACGGUGAUCUUCGUGAAGGUUGCAUGUUGAUGGUGAUUCUAAAGGGGAGAUAAAGGAGUGUGAAAAUUACAUCCUGGAAUUAAUUAUAACAAGUUAAUGGUGAUCAAAUGAAAUUAAAAUUAGAGCUUACGUGUUGUGAACGGCAACAUACUCAUCAGUUUCAUCCAAUAUUUCCUCCUGCAAAAGCCAAAAGUUGGUUUUAGAAUAUAUUCCUGCAACUCUAAUCGAUAACAACAGCUAGCGAUGAAACAUAUACUAAGAAAAACCUGCAGCAGUUCCUCCAUAACAUCCUCCAGUGUAAUGAUACCAAGAACUUCCUCAUCUAAAUUUGGAAAUGAUUCCAAAUCUUCAUUUGAGAGGGUUGUCUGUUCCCAUUUCUUAAUUCUCGGACGUAAUUUCCUGCCUAGCUCCAUGUUUAAAGUUGGACUUUGGAUAUCAAUGACCGUAGAAUUUGCAGACGGUGAGCUUGAAGGAAUACUAAGCUGCUCAUUUCGAUCAUAUUGAUGCUGACCAAUGCCUGAAAAUAGGGUGAUAAUAAGCUCAUAUAUAUCAUUUUUAUUACUAUUGCAAGGGUGAAAGUUUAUAAAAAAAAAAAAAGAAAUAAGUUUCUCCUGAUCUAUGAACACUGAAAUUAUACCUUUCACCUCUGUCUUUCUCUUUUUAGAAUUUGAGCGGAUUUUUAUAUCGGGAAUGCUAGAUUUUGUUUUUGCAGUUUCUGCAGUCUCAUUUAUUAUAUCACUCUUGCACUUAACAACAACAGCCAUGUGGCUGUGGCCUUCUUGAAAUUGAUUCAAUAUAUCAUAGAGAGGUAAGCGAUCAUGAACCCUGUAAAAGAUUUAACGGUAAGAGAAUUAGUUCAUAGUAAUGCCAUCAGUUGUCACUUAAAGAACAUUAGGAAAAAACAUACUGCAAACCAAAUAUCUCUUUAGCUUUUCUAGUUUAAUGUUGAGAAAUCAUAAUAACCAUAUAUAGUACGGCAAGCAGCAGAAAAAGAUCGAGUAAAAAGUAACCUAGGAAUGCUCCUAAUAGAAAGAUCCGUAAUAGGGGUUUCAUCUUCGGGACGGUACAUGAUCAGAUUUUUCACCAGUACGAGGCCAAUGAUAUUUGCUUGGCUCCCUGAGUAGAUAGGUACACGACUAUGCCCAUUGCUUAUUAUUAGCCCCAUCGUUUUCCUGUACCGUAGAAAUAGGUUGACAAGAGGGAAAAAUAGAUGGGAUAUCAGGGCAGAGAGAUAGAAGAUCAUACUCGUUGAGUUUAGAAUUUAUGUCAAGUGAAAAAACGUCAGAUAGGGGAGUCAUAGCAUCUUUGGCCAUUUUUUGUGUCAUAUCUAGAGCUCCAGAGAUAAUGGUUGUUUCAUCAUGCGUCAAUUCUCCACCUUUCCCUGCCUAAAAUAAGCAUGAAAUAUUACCAAUUAAUUAGUUCUAGUUUUGGUAGCCUAAACCAAUGUUUUCGGACAUUAAAAUUUGUGAUCAUUUAGAAGUUUUAAUAUAAGGAAACUAACCUCAUUUCCAAGCAUGUCUACCAGUGUCUUGAGCUCAGCUCGCCGAAGGAGUGCAGAAUGCCCUUCCCCUAGCAGCAAAUCUAGCAGCUGCUAGAACAGGGAAGCAAAUAUUUAUUAUUUUCAUUAAAACUUCAUCAUUCAGUUUCCAAAGGGUUUGAAAAUUACCUUACUAAUUGGGUAAGCUACAGGGAAGAGGACUAUUACAAUGAACCGAACUAAAACUGAGAGUUUUGCUCCAACACUCAGACCAUAGCGAGAACAUACAGCUUGAGGAAUGAUCUGAACAAACAUUUCUAGCAUGUUAUUUAAAGCUACCAACAUACCAACUCACAUUAAUAUUGUGCUGUAGACGGAAGGUUUACCUCACCAAACGCCAGUAUGAGGGUAACUGAUAUCAAUAUAGCGCACCACUCGGAUAGAAGGGAAUCAAGGAAGAUUGGAAGGGCCUUAUUCAAGAACAUAGAAUUCAGAACUAAUUAGUGUUUUGAUAGACAGGAGAAAUGUAUAGGAGUAGAUGGCGUAAACAAAAUAUAUACCUCCAUUGCCAAGGCAUUGCCUAUAAGGAGGGUGCAUAAGAGUAGGUGCUGAUCCUUAACGAUAGGUAGAAUUUUCUCUGCCAUUUAAAGUUACAUAUCUCUUUUGUUAGAAAAGUCAGGAGUGAUUUGUGAGACUUGGGCAAUGAAUAUGGAGAUAUAUUAAUUUCAGUAAUUAAUUAAAGAGUGGAUUAUAAAUAACUUUAACCUGCAUUCUUCCUGUCUCGAGGUUGACCUGCCUUGAUGACAACCUCAAGAUCAACAAGACUGAGGGACAUGAGCCCCAGGGUAAGGCCAGACAUUAUGCCAGCAAAUGAUACAAGAACCAUACAAAUAACUAGAUACACCCAGAACAUAGACUCACAGCAUGGCACAUCAUCUGCUGCCAUUGUAUUAAAUGGAUACCUUGAUUUAUAGAUCAGGGUCGGUUAACGGGAAGAAGACUAUUACUAUAACUGAUCAUUAGGAGAGCAUAAAUAUACUAAAACAGCGGCAAUUAACCACAGUUGAAUGUCCCAAAAUUGGUUUAAAUACAAUGAGAAAGGCAGAAAUGAAAGCGACUGCAGCGUCAUGAGCCCCAAAACUCCGCCAACUGCCACAUUACACGCGUACUCCACGCGAAGAUGAUUAAUACUAUAUUAGAGACAGAUGACGUACGAUCAGUCUGCUAUACAAAGUUAAUUGUCAGAUUAGUUAACCAAUUAAGCCAUAAAAUUUGUUCAUAAAUUCGUGGCUUAUGACGCCACGACAACUUGAUCUCUCUCUAAUUAUUAUUCUAAAUGCAAAAUAGGUGUAAGGGAGCAGGUGGACUAACAAGUAGUGCAAAAACGAAGAAUACAAAACCUAGUUUAAAAUGGAUGAUUUCAGCAAAUGAACUGGCACUUGACAUAUAACACCCUUGAUGUCGUAAUGGAAACAAAAGAGCAGUUGAAAACCUUUGAUAAAGAAUUGGAAAAGUUAUGGCGAAAUGACCUUUUCAAUUCCAUAAAUGACCAUGUUUGAAUGUUUGCAAUUUAUAAGGGCUUCAUGUUGUUGGUGUUGUUGCCCUUUCCAUUUAAGGAAGGCUGCCUGUAUUGCAUUCUGCAGGUCCUGAAAAUUUGUUCCUGCUUUUUUCUCGUUUUGGCUAGUCUUGCUGCUUUCAUUGCAGCCAGAAGAAGCUACGGCAGAAACAACCAUCGAAGUUUCCAAGGAAUUUUAUGCAAAAUAAGUAGAUAAUUAAGGAGCUUACCGCUUUAUAAGACUGAAGACAAUUGUCAAAAUCACAAAGGAAAAGUAUGUUGUAUGAAAAUGUUAUAUCAGGUGGUGUGCUUUAUAUCUAGUUAGAAAGAAAAAAAAAACGGUAGAUAAAAUGAAGAAUUGGGGGUUCAAAUUUGAUGAAGAAAAGAAAAACAAAAUUUUAUAAAUUUACACAUAUUUGAUCUGCAAUGGCACAUACAAGAAUUGCUAGUCACUCGAUUUUACUUGCUUAAAGUUCUUUUUAUAUUAUAGGGGUUUAGGUUUUUAAUAACAUUUUU
rnacentral:lncRNA from 1 species